rnacentral:rRNA from 1 species
GAUGAACGCUGGCGGCGUGCCUAAUACAUGCGAGUCGAGCGAACAGACGAGGAGCUUGCUCCUCUGACGUUAGCGGCGGACGGGUGAGUAACACGUGGAUAACCUACCUAUAAGACUGGGAUAACUUCGGGAAACCGGAGCUAAUACCGGAUAAUAUAUUGAACCGCAUGGUUCAAUAGUGAAAGACGGUUUUGCUGUCACUUAUAGAUGGAUCCGCGCCGCAUUAGCUAGUUGGUAAGGUAACGGCUUACCAAGGCAACGAUGCGUAGCCGACCUGAGAGGGUGAUCGGCCACACUGGAACUGAGACACGGUCCAGACUCCUACGGGAGGCAGCAGUAGGGAAUCUGCCGCAAUGGGCGAAAGCUUGACGGAGCAACGCCGCGUGAGUGAUGAAGGUCUUCGGAUCGUAAAACUCUGUUAUUAGGGAAGAACAAAUGUGUAAGUAGCUAUGCACGUCUUGACGGUACCUAAUCAGAAAGCCACGGCUAACUACG